CGCUAAGCUAUUGGAAUCAUUAAAGUUUAGGCUCAUAACCUGAAGGUCACAGGUUCAAAUCCUGUCCCCGCAACCA
rnacentral:tRNA from 1 species